rnacentral:rRNA from 1 species
UACGUAGGGUCCGAGCGUUGUCCGGAAUUACUGGGCGUAAAGAGCUCGUAGGUGGUUUGUCGCGUUGUUCGUGAAAACUCACAGCUCAACUGUGGGCGUGCGGGCGAUACGGGCAGACUUGAGUACUGCAGGGGAGACUGGAAUUCCUGGUGUAGCGGUGGAAUGCGCAGAUAUCAGGAGGAACACCGGUGGCGAAGGCGGGUCUCUGGGCAGUAACUGACGCUGAGGAGCGAAAGCAUGGGGGAGCGAACAGGA